rnacentral:rRNA from 1 species
UACAGAGGGUGCAAGCGUUGUUCGGAAUCAUUGGGCGUAAAGGGCGUGUAGGCGGUUUGUUAAGUCAUGUGUGAAAUCCCUCGGCUCAACCGGGGAACGACGCAUGAAACUGGCAAGCUAGAGUACCAAAGAGGGUGGUGGAAUUCCCGGUGUAGCGGUGGAAUGCGUAGAGAUCGGGAAGAAUACCUGUGGCGAAGGCGGCCAGCUGGGCCAGAUCCGACACUGAGGCGCGAAAGCGUGGGGAGCAAACAGG